AACGCGAAGAACCUUACCUACCCUUGACAUCCUAGGAAGACUGUAGAGAUAUGGUUGUGCCGAAAGGAACCUAGAGACAGGUGCUGCAUGGCUGUCGUCAGCUCGUGUUGUGAGAUGUUGGGUUAAGUCCCGUAACGAGCGCAACCCUUGUCCUUAGUUACCAGCGCGUCAUGGCGGGAACUUUAAGGAGACUGCUGGUGAAGAACCGGAGGAAGGCGGGGACGACGUCAAGUCAUCAUGGCCUUUAUGGGUAGGGCCACACACGUGCUACAAUGGUGCGUACAGAGGGAAGCCAACCCGCGAGGGGGAGCCGAUCCCAGAAAGCGCAUCGUAGUCCGGAUUGAAGUCUGCAACUCGACUUCAUGAAGUUGGAAUCGCUAGUAAUCGCGAAUCAGAAUGUCGCGGUGAAUACGUUCCCGGGCCUUGUACACACCGAGACGAC
rnacentral:rRNA from 1 species